UCCCUGCUGGUCUAGCGGUUAGGACAUGGCACUUACACUGCUACAGCCUGGGUUCAAUCCCUGGUCUGAGAA
rnacentral:tRNA from 1 species